UGCUUCUCCAGGCCCCGCCCCCGCCCGGGCGGUGGGGAGGGUCUCCGCGGAGGCGGCGGGGGAGGGGUUGAUAGUCCACGUAAUGGACAGGUUGAAGGGCUGUCCUUGGAGCAGGUGCCUGGAUUAAAAUCCCAGCUCAGCCUCCAAAUACCCACGUGGCCUGGAAAAUCUACCCAGCUUCCCUAGGUCUUUCCUGUGUCUCCAGAGCACCAUUCGGCACUCUGAUAAGUUGGAGAUGAUGACAGGCACAUAGAUUGCGAGUGGAAUAGCAGUUUACAGGGAUCUCUAGAAGACAUAAUGCAGACGGAUCAGAAGAUGGAAAAGCCAACAAAAGCUGAAUCAUUGACUACAUAGACGCAAGGACAAGAAGGCUGCUGGGGAAGAAAACUGUCUCAGCACAGUGGGACCCUGCUGGAGUGGGGUGGGGUUCACUGAGUCUAGCGGUAGGGCACUGAACUGCUCCCUAUGUAUAGUGGAGGGGGCAGGAGAGACCUCUGGGCCAGAGAAGUGGACUGUCACUGCAGAGAGGGCUUAGCUUUAGAAAAACAAAAAACAGUGAUUCCUAGCCGCCCCCCUUCUCAACUUUCUCAGUGACAGGGCAGCCCUGGCCUACUUUCUGCCAGAGUACCCUUCCACCUACUCAUCCCUGCCCUCCAUCCUGAAGGGAAGCCCUUCUAAGGAUGAACUUCACCCUUCAUUCUUUUUGUUCUGUGUAAGAUUCCGUUUUAUGAAAAUACCACAUUUGGGGGCACCUGGGUGGCUCAGUCGGUUGAACACCCAACUCUUGAUCUCAGCUCAGGUCAUGAUUUCAAGGUCAUGAGAUUGAGCCCCACAUCAGGCUGAGGGUGGAGCCUGCUUUGGAUUCUGUCUCCCUCGCCCUCUGCCCCUCUCCCGCAUGUGUGCUCUCUCUAUCUCUCUCUCAAAAUAAAUAAAGUUAGUAAAGAAAAAAGAAAAUACCACAUUUUGCCCAUCAGUUCAUCUGUUAAAAUACAUAUUUGGGUUGUUUCCAAUUUGGGACAAUUAUGAAUAAAACUGCU